rnacentral:rRNA from 1 species
GAUGAACGCUGGCGGCGUGCUUAACACAUGCAAGUCGAACGGGAUCCAAGGGGUGCUUGCACUUUUUGGUGAGAGUGGCGAACGGGUGAGUAACACGUGAGUAACCUGUCCUUUUCUUUGGGAUAAGCAUUCGAAAGGGUGUUUAAUACCUUAUGUUCUGUCUGCCUCGCGUGGGGUGGGUGGGAAAGGCUUUGGCCGGAUUUGGGUGGGCUCGCGGUCUAUCAGCUUGUUGGUGGGGUGAUGGCUUACCAAGGCUUUGACGGGUAGCCGGCCUGAGAGGGUGGUCGGUCACAUUGGGACUGAGAUACGGCCCAGACUCCUGCGGGAGGCAGCAGUGGGGGAUAUUGCACAAUGGGCGAAAGCCUGAUGCAGCGACGCCGCGUGGGGGAUGAAGGCCUUCGGGUUGUAAACUUCUUUUGCUCUGAACAAGGCAUGCCAGUGGGUGUGUUGAGUGUAGGGGUUGAUUAGCGCCGGCUAACUACGUG